ACUUGAAUAGCUUAUUUAGAGCGUGACAUUGAAGAUGUCGAUGAGGUAUCUAUUGCCUUUGAGUA
rnacentral:tRNA from 1 species